rnacentral:tRNA from 1 species
AACGGCGGGGAACCGGCGGCUCCGGACGGCUGGGAACCGGCGGCUCCGGACGGCUGGGGUCCGUCCGCCGUUC